UUUUGGGUCAGUCCGCCCUCAUGCCUGAGGUUGUAUUUUCCUUUGCUUGCCAAAUAAAACCAAGCUGUAACACUGGUCUGCUGCUUCAAACUUUUGCUGCAGUGAGACAGAACCAAGGAAAUUACAUACUCCCCCAACAUAUCUGGUGCCAUGACUCAGAUUUAACCUGGCUGAAACAACCUCAGUUUGGCCCCCCGCGAGGCAGAGGCCAAGCACAGCAGAAGCCCAACUUUGUGAAAGCUCCCGCGGUGGAAGCUGAACACAAAGAAAACCCAGUGCAGAGAAAGUGACAAGAAGCCCAGCAUGCCGGAAACCAGGACUGCAAUAACAAAUUUGGCAUCAAGCUCACACAGCUCAGUCUCAGAUUCCAGUAGACCUCCGGUUAAGGCCUGGCUAAGCAUCCAGAAGAAGAAUAAACAUACUUCUGACUCCUAGUGUUAUCCAUGAAACUAACAGGUCGUUGUUUCCCAAACUACAUGUUGAACUCCUAGUGGGACUGUGAAGAUAUUAUGAGUGUUCCUGGUGAUCAGAGCAGAAGAGAUCCAGCAGUGAUGAACUGGACCUAUGCCCUCAAUCCUUAAAGAAGAGCAAACAUUUGCUGCCGUAUACUUGCAGUGUUGUUUACCAUCAUGAGCCAAGAAUAAAGUCAAAAGCCUGACUCAGUGCUUCUGGAGUAAGGAAUGAGGACGUGAGAACUGGUCUGCUUCACAGCUGCUGUGUGGAUGAAGUCAGGUAAUAUGUGAAAGGGGUUAUGCUUCAGUGGAGGCCUGCAUCCUGGUGAGGCACGUAAAGAUCUGACAGGGAGUUCACAUUUAUUCAGCACCUCCUAUCUGCCAAAUGCUUUUGAAGAAGAGAGAGAAAGAUUUCACAUAACCUUAAAGACCAAGAAUCCUUUUUAACCUAGAAGUUGGAAAUAUAAACAGAAUGAAAGAGAG
ensembl:lncRNA